rnacentral:misc_RNA from 1 species
GCAAGUUUAGAUGAGAUGGUCAUUUGGUUUAAAGAUACAAUGAUUUAUCCUAAGCAGGAGCUUUAAGUUGAAAAAUUAAAUUAAAAUAAAAUAUUGAAGAAGAGUUCCAGCACAUGCAGGAUUGCUAUAUAACAACAAAUUAAUCAUAAAACAACUUCAAAAGGGUUAGUGAUGAAAUUUUCAACAAUAACAUCAAUGUCAGAGAUCAACUACUAAAAACUAAAUAAAAUUUGAAAUGAUCCAUUAUAGCAUGAGCUCCAAAGUCUAAACUCUAAACCAAAGUUAGCAACACCAUUUCAACAAGCAUUUUCU